rfam:Ictidomys tridecemlineatus contig101057, whole genome shotgun sequence.
GGGGGUGUAGCUCAGUGGUAGAGCACUUGCCUAGGAUGUGUGAGGCACUGGGUUCGAUUCUCAGCACUGCAU